GUCUACAGCCAUACCACCCUGAAUGCACCCGAUCUCGUCUGAUCUCAGAACCUAAGCAGGGUAGGGCCUAGUUAGUCCCUGGCUGGAAGAAGAAAGGAGAAGUUACUCUUGAAA
rnacentral:rRNA from 1 species